rnacentral:rRNA from 1 species
GACGAACGCUGGCGGCGUGCUUAACACAUGCAAGUCGAACGGAAAGGCCUCUUUCGGGGGGUACUCGAGUGGCGAACGGGUGAGUAACACGUGAGUAACCUGCCCUUGACUUUGGGAUAACUUCAGGAAACUGGGGCUAAUACCGGAUAGGAGCUCCUGCUUCAUGGUGGGGGUUGGAAAGUUUCGGCGGUUGGGGAUGGACUCGCGGCUUAUCAGCUUGUUGGUGGGGUAGUGGCUUACUAAGGCUUUGACGGGUAGCCGGCCUGAGAGGGUGACCGGCCACAGUGGGACUGAGAUACGGCCCAGACUCCUACUGGAGGCAGCAGUGGGGAAUAUUGCACAAUGGGUGGAAGCCUGAUGCAGCAACGCCGUGUGCGGGAUGACGGCCUUCGGGUUGUAAACCGCUUUCGCUCAUGACGAAGCUUUGUGUGACGGUAGUGGGUAAAGAAGCACCGGCUAACUACGUG